AUGAUGAGGACUGUGAUGAUUCUCAUCAUCAAAAGUGCUUUGAUCUGGGUGCUGGCCACAGCUGAUGUGACUGACCAACAGGUGACACUUGGAGGCACCAUCAAUCUAGAAUGUGAUAUCACGGUGAAAUACGACAUCAUAUGGUUUGUCCUGCGUCCCAAUACCACACUGUCGCAGGCCACCUUUACCUUUGUAAAACAGGAUAAGAAUCUAAGAUCCACGGCCCAAUUUGGCAGCCGCUUUGUGCCUGUAUAUAACAAAGCUGUGCCAACUGUUGACCUGACCAUAUUGAACCUAACAGACAGUGACCUGGGCCUGUAUUACUGUGGCAUGUGGAGAGAUAAUGUAUUUGAGAUUGGGAAUGGGACUCAGCUCACCUUUACAGGUGAGUAGUUUCCACAUCACCAUCUGGUUCUUUAUCAUGUAAAACGUAUGAAAUGUUAGAAUAGUGUUUGUUUUAGUGUGAUCUGAUAAGAAUACCCAUGAUUAUGUGAUGUAUUUUGUCCAACGUUGUGAUUCACAGUAGGGAGCUGGUAAGGACCUACAGUGCCUUCAGAAAGUAUUCAUACUCCUAGACUUAUUCCACAUUUUGUUGUGUUACAGCCUGAAUUCAAAAUGGAUUAAAUUGAUUUUCUUUCUCACCCAUCUACAAACAAUAACCCAUAAUGACAAAGUGAAAACAUGUUUUUAGAUNNNNNNNNNNCAAUAUAUUUUCAGGUAGCACUGAGAGUUCAACCACCACCGCAGCCCCCCAACCAUUUUCAACCACACCAGGUAUAGUCAUCAUUUGAUCUUUAAAUUGAACUAGAUUACUGAGCAGAUUAUGAGCUGUGUAGUGCUGUAAUAGCAGAACUGGGUUCAAAUAGUAUAAAAAAAUCUACCAAGCACUUAAUGAGUUUGUGUUGCAGUAGAACCAACAGAAUUGUAUCAAGUGAAAACCCUGUCAAUCUGUCAUUGAAAGGCCACAUUUUAACAUCGCNNNNNNNNNNUUUCCUCUUCCACUCUGUGUACCACCACUUUGGUGAUGCCUCAGCAGCUCUGAGUCCCCGCUAGCUCACCACACUAAGUUCAGAGUAGUAGCCAGUCGUCCACUCUACAAGCUCUCAGCACUGCAGGAUUCCACUAUCUCCCAUUCCUCUCACACUUCAGGCGACUCCUGAACAACUUUCCAGUGCUGCAGGUGCAUUACCUUUGUAAAAGUAUAAUUUGUAUAAGUCAAUUUGUCAUUCGCUCAAGUUUUGGACCANNNNNNNNNNUUUUUUGCCAACUGUCCAGCCAUAAUGAAAUGCUACAUUUGAUCAGGUAACAAUGUGAAUGUCUUUUCAAAGCUUGCUGUCUCAUCCUCUAUCACAGACCUUUUAGAAGUUCCUGAAUGUCCUCUUAUUUACUGUACUUUGUUUAUGUAUAGAUGGCAAUAAUGUUUAGAUGAUUUAAUCUAUUUUAGAGGACUCCAAGGAACAUUCUGUGCAAUGUUUGACUGACUGCUUUUAGUGUCUCAACUGUGUGGUCCACAAUGUGUUUUAAAANNNNNNNNNNAUAUGACGUAAAUGAUUUAAGAUCAGAUGUCUAAAAUGAUCUUGUUCAAUACAUUUCUAUCUCUAACACCCUGAACAUACUGGUCAUGCAAUCAACACUGGAAUAACAUAAUAAAUAAAAAGAUGUGAAACCAAUCUGGACACAUGUAGAUCCCAUCGUCCACCUACUUAGAUGUAUGGAGUGGCAGAAGUUUAACCCCGUGUGUCACAGGAGACUUCAUAAAACACCAGAAAUGUUACUUUUACUCUCAGCAUCUUUACAUUUUAUUCCUGUUUGUCCUCCUAUAUUCACUCUUGGUCCUCUAGAUGACAGGCUUCAACCAAAUUGUUCCAGAAUCCUCAUUUUGUCAGGAUNNNNNNNNNNAAUCCUACAGAAAAAUUGUGGGCAGAACUGAAAAAGCGUGUGCGAGCAAGGAGGCCUACAAACCUGACUCAGUUACACCAGCUCUGUCAGGAGGAAUGGGCCAAAAUACACCCAACUUAUUGUGGGAAGCUUGUGGAAGGCUACCCAAAACGUUUGACCCAAGUUAAACAUUUUAAAGGCAAUGCUACCAAAUACUAAUUGAGUGUAUAUAAACUUCUGACCCACUGGGAAUGUGAUGAAAGAAAUAAAAGCUGAAAUAAAUAANNNNNNNNNNGAAGGAAGCAAGUUUUCUUCCAGGACAACCUUGUACGUGGCUUGAUGCAUGUGUCCUUCACAAAGACAAAUCUGUCUGAUUCCAACCUUGCUGAAGCACCCCCAGAUCAUCACCCAUCCUCCACCAAAUUUCACAGUGGGUGAGAGACCAAGAGAGUCAAGUGUAUCGAGGGU
rnacentral:lncRNA from 13 species